rnacentral:misc_RNA from 1 species
CUCCUCCUCCUCCCCCUCCCCCUCUGCCUCCAGUUUCCCCUUUGAGAUUGCUAUUGUCUUCGUCAUUUGUCUUAUUAUUCCCAAACCGCCUCACACUAAGAAUGGCACGAACAGCCGCGAUCGCUGCUGCAGCCCGAUCAAUGACCUGUAUUCGUUGAAUCCUGUCCUUCUCCUCCUUGGGAACAUCAAAAAUCUUCUUGAAGUCCACGCUUUUCUUCUUCAAAUUCACUCUCUGACCACCAUCAUUGUCAGCAUCAUCGCCAUUGUCGAUUCCGAACACUGUUUCGUUGAGCUUUUGGAACUCAAUGUUCGUGUCUAGAUCGACGGCGUUAUUCCACAUGUCCAGGUACAAGUUCCCAUCAUUCGAAGUCCUAAUUCUCGACCUUCCAAUGAUCCUGGUUCUGGAUUUAUCAGCGAAUAGCGAUUGUUCCAGUGGUAAAAACAGGAGUUUGCCGGUUUCCUGGAAAUGAGCAGAGCGUGAGGUUGCGCGUGAGCAAGCGCCGAGCUUGGAUGCCAUUUUGGUUUGAAAGAGUCGGGGAAGUGCGAUCAGCAAGACGGGACUUGGAAAUGAUAGAGUGACGGUGGAAUUUAUUUUCUGGAGCUAGGUCUCCGAGUUAGCGCUUAAUACUUGAUUUAGUGAGG